rnacentral:lncRNA from 1 species
CGCUUGGUUCUCUGCCCAAAAUCAGAAAAUGGUUUUCUUUUUGCAGCCAAGUUUCAAAUAAUGCAUGCUAGUCCCUCAACUUUGAUUUUGUACAAUUUGGUCCUCAAAUUUUGACUUCCAUUUCGAUUUUGCCCUCCAUAAAUUGCAUCCCAAAUCCUCCACUUUUUGACUUGUUUGCCUCGGCCUCCAACUUCACAAUUUUGUACAAUUUUAGUCAUUUUUCCUCCUUUUGCCUUGUUCUCUUUCCUUUGGGUGAUUUUUACCUAUAAAAGCAAAUAUUACUUAACUAUGAAUAGAAUUUCAUUCUUUUCAUCAAUAAUUAUAUCAAAUUAAGUGCCCAAUAAGUGUGCAAAAACACACUUAUCACACCCCCAAACUUAAACUCUUACUUGUCCCGAUCAAGAUUAUCUACCACACAAUCAAACAAAAGUGAUCAUUGUCAACACACUAAAUAGCUUGCCAAAAAUAUCAAUGUGUAAAAUUGUAUAAUCAAUUGACAAAUAUGCUCCAAAUAAUGCUAACAAAAAAUAAUUUGAGUUUAUCUAAUGUUCGAUCGGUGUGUAUGUGUAUAGUCACUUUCAAUUAUCAUCUAA